CGCGCAGGCGGUCGUUCAAGUCGCGUGUGAAAGCCCCCGGCUCAACUGGGGAGGGUCACGCGAUACUGAUCGACUCGAAGGCAGGAGAGGAAGUGGAAUUCCCGGUGUAGUGGUGAAAUAGCGUAGAUAUCGGGAGGAACACCAGUGGCGAAGGCGACUUCCUGGCCUGUUCUUGACGCUGAGGCGCGAAAGCUAGGGGAGCAAACG
rnacentral:rRNA from 1 species